AUUAGAAAAUUCGACAUGUGAUUUGCGUUAGAACUGUUAGGCGAGCCCUAGGCAUUGGGCGUUAGGCGUGUUUAGGGCGCACGGUCGGGCGCUUAGGGCGUAAGCCUCACAGAACUAAGCCCCAGGACGUUUUGCAAGUGCCCCGCUCAAGGGCGAGCCCCGAAAAUGCCUUUUAAAACACGGAUACUCAUUCUCUCUCAUCUCUCUUGGGCGGCUGAAAAUCGCUUCUGCCGCCCACCGUCGUCCCUCCGCCUUCACGCUAUCGUUGACCGCCGUCGGAAAUCACCCCACGGCGUCAGUCCAUCUCCUCAUCCCUAAUCCAUCAUCCAUUUCUUCAAAAACUCACCCAAAUUCCACGAUUAGCGGAUAUGAGAAUCCAAGAAAAUUUGAAAUUGCCCCUUUUCGAUUUCUUUACCCAUUUGAGGUUAAUAUUCAAACCAAUCGACAUCUCUUGAUGAGUAUUGUUGGUUGGUGGUGGUUACGCCCCAUUGUCCAUUAUCGCCAGAGUCCGGCUGUUUCCUCAUCGACCGGCCAGCGACGGUUUCUUUUUCCUCUGGCAAAGUAAGAGGCAUUGCUACACAUAGCAUUGGCCCCUGAGAUUCCCGCUAGUGCUUGUGUAACAAUCUCCGGCUUGCUGGAAUCCACCAUUGUCAAUCCAAUUGAGUUCUAAUAGGGAGCCUACUUGGAUUAAUUAAGGCAUAAGGAGGCACGAAUUAAACUGCUUGAGACUUGUUUGUCGUAAUACUUUGGGACUGCAUAAUUGCAGAAUGAUAGCUCAUAGGUUUAGCUAUUAGUCAUAUUCGAUGUAAUAAAUUAAUUGAUACAUGAAGAUUGUAUGGGAGAUCACUAUAAUUAUUUUUUAAUUAUCGAAUCACUGUUCCCAACAAUUAGUUGUAAUUAGAGUUGCUGUUCUCGUAAAUUUGAAAUUAUGUUUUUCUGA